UUUUACUUCUAGAGAAAAACAAUUUUGAGAGAAUACCGGAAAGCAUCAUUCAGCUGUCUCACUUAUUUUCGCUCGGCAUAAGCUAUUGUGAGAGGCUCCACUCUUUACCUGAGCUUCCGUGUGAUCUAAGUGAUAUUGAAGCACAUUGUUGCUCGUCAUUGGAGGCAUUAUCAGGUUUAUCAAUUCUCUUCACACAAACAUCUUGCAAUUCACAGUUUUUUUAUUUUGUCAAUUGUUUUAAAUUGGAUAAGAAUGAGCUCAAAGAAAUUAUCAAAGAUGCUCAACGGAAAAUGCAGCUUGAAGCAACUGCAUGGUGGGAAGAACUUGAAAAGGUGUCUUUCUAACUCUAUCUUUGAAUGAUGUUGUUAUUAUUAUAAUUUUUCCUAAGAAAAGGAGUGUGAUGUUAAAGCUAACAAUGUUAAACACAUUGUUUUUUUUUUUUUUUUUUUGGUACAGCAACAUUUUGAAGUCCCGAGGGGUAUGAUCUGUUUCCCUGGAAGUGAACUUCCGGAGUGGUUUAUGUUUCAAAGCAUGGGAUCUUCUGCAACCUUCAAUCUACCACCGGAUUGGUUCAGUUAUAACUUUGUUGGCUUUGCUCUAUGUGCUGUUGUUGGAUUUCGAGACCAUCAUGAUGAUGGCGGCGGUUUUCAAGUUUUCUGUGAAUGCAAACUCAAAACUGAAGAUGGACUCUGUCGUGUUGCAGUUGGCCACUUGACUUGUUGGUCUGAUGGUUAUCGUGGCCCUCGUUAUAUUGGGUCGGAUCACGUUUUCUUGGGUUUCGAUUUCUAUAUGUUUUCAGAUGGUUUUGAUGAAUAUUAUUACAGUGAUGAAGUUUUUAUCCAAUUCUAUCUCGAGGAUUGUUGUGAGGUGACAAAAUGCGGAAUUCAUUUGUUGUACGCCCAAGAUUUUUCUGAUUCAACAGAAGAUUCAGUUUGGAAUUUUAGUUCUGAUGAGCAAGGGGAACUACCAUUGCAGCCGCCGCCACCACCCAAGAGGUUGAAAUACUCUGUAAGUCAAUCACCGGUGGUACCUUUUGUAAGGGGAGUCUUUUUAUAGAUCUCCUUUUGCACAGCACUCAAAAGUUUAUGACUUCUCAGAACUAAAAAUAUAUGUUGCGCCAUGGUUAAAGUUUUUGUUAUAUAUGUGCGUUGUGUUCUGUAAUUUAGGGGAACAGAAUUUAAAUGCCACAGCCUUUCGUUUUCAAUUCCUUUCUUGAGUAUGGUUUGGAUAAGCUCUUCUGAAUUUGAUCGCCAAAUACUAACGCCCGAAAUAUGUUAUUAUGAAAAAUGAGAUACUCUGUGAUAAUAUUGUCAUUUAAGGCAAAUCAUUUAUUUUAAUUUUUAAAAGUUCAUCCACUGACUUCGUGUCACAUAUGGUACGUGCAUAUCAUGAUCUGCUGGGAAGACUUUGUAUAUCUGAUACUAGUUCCAAGACAGUUCUUUCUUAACUCAUCUAUGUUUGGAAGAGGCUAGUGCAAGUGUGCAACUACAAGUUGGGUCAAAUCUUCAGAAUGACAGAACCCAAUGAAAUAAAUCAAAUGACUUUGCAUUUGCACAAUUGUUUCCUUGGAGCAUCCAAAAGAUCUUCGCAUUCACCAAACAAGGCAUUCAAUUAAGAACUCAGUUCCAAGAAAAAAGAUUCACCAAUUAUUCAUUUAUUUACAAAAGUCAUUGAUAGAGCCGAGAGGCCAAUAAAAUAGUUCCUCUUGAUUUAAAAAGAUUUCGCCAACUCAAACUAAGGCUUCGGCAUAGUGAUGGGUUAGGGAACACAAAUUUAGAGUUUCCGUGUUGAUUCAAAUAUUUCAUCUCUCAUAAAUAUGCGAAGAGAUAGGUUUCUCUGUAAAUAUUAGUGAGAGCAGAAUUUUGAUUUGGUCUCAGUAAACCUCUGAACUAAAAUAUUUGUUUAAAUUCUCAAUAAAUUUUCACCAGCUAUAUAACUUCAAAGGUAUUUUCCAUGAAUGGAAGAAAUGAAAAGAGCAUGGGGGUCUAGAUGAAACUUUAUAUGAAUUUAUGUUAAAUUUGUAAAUUUGUAAAAAUUGUGCCUUACAAUUUUAUUUCUUCAAAACGUUAUGUUGAGUUUACUUUCAACAACGAAUGAAAUCAGUUAGAGCUUGCAUGGCGUUUUGCCACUAUCGGCUCAUCAUGCUUCCCGGUGCCAAUGAUAGUGGUAAAAUUACGGGUUGUCUUCCAGAUGGCGAGUUCAUUUUUUUCUGCGUUCAACUGCUAAAGUUUUUAUUACAUGCUUAAGUUUUGAUUGAUUGAAUACAUGUGCUUAUGCUUUGUAUGAUUCUGUUUAUGAUUGUGUGAGUGAUCUUAGCUUUGAUCAAUUGAAUUAUUACUUAUUAAGAAGAAGAAAAAUUAUUCAUUCUCCAAAAAGUCAAGUCAAUGAAGCCUGAACUUGGAAUAUUUAAUUAAGCUAGUUGUUAAGACUUGUUUGGCUUUUGUUUAUGUAAAUUUCCCUUUUUUUUUCAUGUGGUCAUUCUGGAAGCAAGAUGCAUGAAUUCGGUAAUUUUUUUUUUUUGUAAUUUAAUAAUUUUAACUCAAAAGUCAACAUUGCUACCGUUCAAGGUAUCUUCUGAGAAAUGGACGAAGACUAAAGCAAUUAGAAGAAAAAAAAAAGUUAAGACGACAAGCAUGGGAGUAUUAUAUUGUUUUCUUGUAAGCUUAAAACUAAGAAAGAUAAAUGAAAUAUGUUAAGACUUCAGAUCUAUCUGCAGUCUCUGAUCAAUUUGAAACAUGAUGGCUUCCUCUUCAUUCCCUCCCACUGCUACUGUUCCUCAAGUGAAAUACGAUGUUUUUCUUAGUUUCAGAGGUGAGGAUACCCGAGACAACUUCACCAGCCAUCUUUAUGCAGCUUUGUGCCAAAAAAAGAUUGAAACUUUCAUCGAUAACCAACUUAUUAGAGGAGAGGACAUUUCCCCUUCUCUCCUGGAUGCAAUUGAAAGAUCAAAGAUUUCGGUGGUCAUUUUCUCUAAAGGGUAUGCUUCUUCCGGAUGGUGUCUUGAAGAACUUGUGAAGAUCCUGGAAUGCAAAGACAAAUAUGGACAAAUUGUUAUACCAGUUUUCUAUCAUGUUGAGCCAUCAAAUGUAAGAAACCAAACUGGGAUUUUUGGGGAUGCAUUUUCAAUGCUUGAAGAACGAUUUGUGGGAAGGGAAGACAAGCUGCGAACAUGGAGGAUUGCACUGAGGGAAGCUGCCAAUAUUUCUGGCUUUGAUUCUAAUACUGUCAGGUAAUCUCUCCUCAUGGAAUACUCUACUGUCUGCAUAAAAUAAAUAUAGCAAAGCAACUGUCCCCGUAUGGCUUUGCAUAAAAUGAAUAUGGCAAAGCAACUGUCAAAAUUGAAUAUGGCAAAGCAACCGUCAAUGUAUGCUUUUGAGACAAAAAUAUCCUUAACUUUAAUUAAUGGAUAGAAAUAAAAUCCUUGUGGAAGUGGUUGCAAAUUGAUUAAAAAAAUGUUAUCUGUGCUCAGUUUUACAGAAUGAUGUGCUUAGGAUUGCAUAUUUGAGAAUUUGGGAUAAGUUUUUGGCGCAUGGGAAAAUUCCCUUAAAACUACAUAAGCUUUUGUAAGAUCAGGAUCUACUGCCAAAUGCUACAUAAGUUACAGAAUCAAUGUAUAAAAGAAAAAAAAAUUAGUUAUAUUCUACUAAAUAAUUGUUAUUCACAUGUCUGCAGAUAGCAAAUGAUAUUAAAACAGAUGAUUUAUACAAUUCACAUGUAUCUUAAACUAUAUAUGUCAGCAGUAGGUAACUAUCUUGUGAACCUUCCAAUUGUUUUCACUUUGGAAGAUAACAUAUAUUGCAUUUUUUUUUUUCUUUUUUUUCUUUCUAUUAAUCUAUUUGAACUUCCUAUCUGCUUUCAAUAUUUCUUAAGCCUGAAUCUGUACUUAUAGAGGAACUUGUCAAAGAUGUUUUGAAGAGAUUGAAUGAUAUAUUUCCAAGUGAUUGUGAAGAUCAGCUGGUUGGAGUAGAAUCGAGCAUAAGGUUAAUUGAAUCUUUACUAAGUACUGGGUCGAAAGAAGUUUACAGUCUUGGAAUUUGGGGCAUUGGUGGUAUAGGCAAGACAACAAUUGCUAGUGCUAUUUUCAGCAAGAUCUCGACUAAUUUUGAUGGUUCUUACUUUAUUCAAAAUGUUAGAGAGGAAUCUGAAAAAUCUGGAGGACUAGUUCACUUGCGACAAACACUCCUUUCUGCAAUAUUAGAGGAUGGAAAUGUUUCAAUAGUAUGUCGGAAUAUUGGCCUCAACUUUAGAAGCAAAAGGCUUAGCCGCAAGAAGGUUCUAAUUGUUUUUGAUGAUGUAUCUACUUCUGAACAAAUGGAAUUCUUAAUUGGAGAUAAGGGUUGGUUAAUGCCAGGGAGUCGACUUGUAAUAACAGCUAGAGAUAAACAAGUUCUCAGAAAUUGUGGAGUGGAUACAAUAUACGAGGUCAAAGAAUUAUUUGAUGAGGAUGCUCGUAUGCUUUUUAGUCGACAUGCCUUUGGAAAAAACCAUCCCAAUGCAGAUUAUAUGGAGCUGUCAAACAAAAUUAUAAAGUAUGCUAAAGGAGUUCCAUUAGCUAUUAAGGUUUUGGGGCGCUUUCUAUGUGGAAGGAGAAUACAAGAUUGGGAAAGUGCAAUGAAUAAAAUGAAACGAAUCCCUCAUGUGGAUAUCCAAAAAGUGCUAAAAGUAAGUUAUGAUGGCUUGGAUGACGAGGAACAAAAUAUAUUUCUAGAUAUUGCAUGUUUCUUUAAAGGAGAAGACAAAGAUUGUGUAAUAAGAUUCUUAGAUGGCUGUGGCUUCUCAGCUGAAAUAGGAAUAAGUGUUCUUGUUGAUAAGUGUCUCAUGAUUAUAUCCAAUAACAAGAUAAUGAUGCAUGAUUUGCUACAAGAAAUGGGCAGGGAAAUUGUCUGACAAGAAUCCAUCAAAGAUCCUGGAAAGCGCAGUCGAUUGUGGCAUCAUGAGGAUAUCUACAAUAUUUUGACAAAAAAUAUGGUGAGCACCGAAGUGACUACUACUUAUGUCUAUUUCAUUUAUGCCAGAUUAGUUUAGCAUUUUGUUGGAGAAUAUUGUAUAGAAAAAUAAUAUUAAAAAUUAGAAUGGUAAUAUCGUUCAGAAAAAUGACAUUAAAAAUUAGAAUGGUAAUGUCGUAUAGAAAAAUGACAUUAAAAAUUAGAAUGGUAAAAGUAAAAAAGCCUAAGAAAUGUAAGUGGAUAGGUGAUGCAUAGAAAAGUUUGAAUGCAUAUUCUGCGCCAGUAAAUCACUUGUUUUUUAUAUCCUUAUAUGCAUUAUCAAUUCAGUUUAUGGUAGUUUAAGAUUAAUCGAAAUUAUUAUUAUUAUUAUUUUCAUUAGGGAACUGAAUCAAUUGAGGGCAUCUCUUUGGAUAUGUCUGAAGUCGAAGAUAUACACCUGAAUGCCCGCAGUUUCACAAAUAUGCACAAAUUGAGAUUUUUUAAGUUCUAUAGCUCACACUAUGGAGAGAACGUGAAUAAGGUACAUAAUUUUCGAGGUUUGGAGUCUACUGAGUUGAGGUAUCUUCAGUGGCAUGGAUGUCCAUUAAAAUCAUUGUCUUCGAAAAUUCAUCCAGAGAAUCUUGUUUCGCUUGAAAUGCCUCAUAGCAGCAUUAAACAACUAUGGAAGGGUGUCCAGGUAUACCUUAGCAUUCACAUUGCAAUUAGUCUUUUUGUGAAAUAGUUAUUGAUUUCCUAUAUGCUAAUACUUUUGCUUUGAAAUAAAUUUUUUCAGCGUCUUGUCAACUUAAAACAUUUAAAUCUCAGUCACUCAGAGCAUCUAACCAAAAUCCCAGACCUUUCAUUGGCCACAAAUCUUGAGAGCCUGAAUUUCCGAGGCUGCACAAGUUUGCUCGAGACUCACUCUUCUAUUCAAUAUCUGAAUAAGCUUAUUGUCCUAAAUCUAGAACAUUGCAGAAGUUUAACGAGUCUUUCCACAAGUAUUCAUUUGGAAUCUCUUAAAAAGCUUAUUCUUUCUGGCUGCUCAAAUCUCAUGAGUUUUCCAGAGCUAUCUUGUAAUAUAGAGGAGUUAUCUUUAGAUGGAACUGCAAUCCAAGAACUUCCCUCAUCCAUUGAGCGCCUAUCCAGUUUAAUCUUAUUGAAUCUUGGAAAUUGCUUGAGGCUUGAAGGGCUCCCAAGAAAAAUAUGUAAGUUGAAAUCUCUCGAACGCCUUAAUCUCGCAGGUUGCUCGAAUCUGCAAAGGUUACCUAACGAACUUGGAAAUUUAGAAGCCUUGAAGGAGCUGAAAGCCGAAGGAAUUGCUAUAAGAGAAGUACCUUCAUCGAUUGUUUGUUUGAAAAUUCUGGGUAGAUUAUCCUUCGAGAGCUUCAAGGGUCAUGAGCAGAUGGGGCUCUUGUUGCCUAUUUCAUUUGGCUUGACCAGUCAAACAUAUCUAAAACUAGCUGAUUGCGGCAUCACAGAGUUACCUGAAUGUCUUGGCCAGUUGUUAUCACUAAGAAUUUUAUUUCUAGACAAAAACAAUUUUGAGAGAAUACCAGAAAGCAUCAUUUACCUGUUUCACUUGUAUUGGCUGAGGAUAAGCUAUUGUGAGAGGCUUAAAUCUUUACCAGAGCUUCCAUGUGAUCUAUGUGACAUUGAAGCCCAUGGUUGCUCAUCACUGGAAGCGUUAUCAGGUCUAUCAAUUCUCUUCACACAAACAUCUUGGAAUUCACAGUGUUUUAAUUUUGUUAAUUGUUUGAGAUUGGAUGAGAAUGAGCUCAAAGAAAUUAUCAAAGAUGCUCAACGGAAAAUGC
rnacentral:lncRNA from 1 species